GACGAACGCUGGCGGCGUGCUUAACACAUGCAAGUCGAACGGCAAGGCCCUUCGGGGUACACGAGUGGCGAACGGGUGAGUAACACGUGGGUGAUCUACCCUGCACUUCGGGAUAAGCCUGGGAAACUGGGUCUAAUACCGGAUAGGACCACUGCCUGCAUGGGUGGUGGUGGAAAGCUUUUGCGGUGUGGGAUGGGCCCGCGGCCUAUCAGCUUGUUGGUGGGGUGAUGGCCUACCAAGGCGAGGACGGGUAGCCGGCCUGAGAGGGUGACCGGCCACACUGGGACUGAGAUACGGCCCAGACUCCUACGGGAGGCAGCAGUGGGGAAUAUUGCACAAUGGGCGCAAGCCUGAUGCAGCGACGCCGCGUGAGGGAUGACGGCCUUCGGGUUGAAAACCUCUUUCAGCACCGACGAAGCGCAAGUGACGGUAGGUGCAGAAGAAGGACCGGCCAACUACGUGCCAGCAGCCGCGGUAA
rnacentral:rRNA from 1 species